rnacentral:rRNA from 1 species
AUUGAACGCUGGCGGCAUGCCUUACACAUGCAAGUCGAACGGCAGCACGGGUGCUUGCCCCUGGUGGCGAGUGGCGAACGGGUGAGUAAUACAUCGGAACAUGUCCUGUAGUGGGGGAUAGCCCGGCGAAAGCCGGAUUAAUACCGCAUACGAUCUACGGAUGAAAGCGGGGGCCCUUCGGGCCUCGCGCUAUAGGGUUGGCCGAUGGCUGAUUAGCUAGUUGGUGGGGUAAAGGCCUACCAAGGCGACGAUCAGUAGCUGGUCUGAGAGGACGACCAGCCACACUGGGACUGAGACACGGCCCAGACUCCUACGGGAGGCAGCAGUGGGGAAUUUUGGACAAUGGGCGAAAGCCUAAUCCAGCAAUGCCGCGUGUGUGAAGAAGGCCUUCGGGUUGUAAAGCACUUUUGUCCGGAAAGAAAUCCUUGGCCCUAAUACGGUCGGGGGAUGACGGUACCGGAAGAAUAAGCACCGGCUAACUACGUG